GACGAACGCUGGCGGCGUGCCUAAUACAUGCAAGUCGAGCGGACAGAAGGGAGCUUGCUCCCGGAAGUCAGCGGCGGACGGGUGAGUAACACGUGGGCAACCUGCCUGUAAGACUGGGAUAACUUCGGGAAACCGGAGCUAAUACCGGAUAGGUUCUUCCCCCGCAUGGGGGAAGAUGGCAAGACGGUUUCGGCUGUCACUUACAGAUGGGCCCGCGGCGCAUUAGCUAGGUGGUGGGGUAAUGGCCAACCAAGGCGACGAUGCGUAGCCGACCUGAGAGGGUGAUCGGCCACACUGGGACUGAGACACGGCCCAGACUCCUACGGGAGGCAGCAGUAGGGAAUCUUCCGCAAUGGACGAAAGUCUGACGGAGCAACGCCGCGUGAGCGAAGAAGGCCUUCGGGUCGUAAAGCUCUGUUGUCAGGGAAGAACAAGUGCCAGAGUAACUGCUGGCACCUUGACGGUACCUGACCAGAAAGCCACGGCUAACUACGUGCCAGCAGCCGCAGUAAGAC
rnacentral:rRNA from 1 species